AAGUCGAACGAGUUCUGAUUAUUGAAAGGUGCUUGCAUCUUGAUUUAAUUUUGAACGAAUGGCGGACGGGUGAGUAACACGUGGGUAACCUGCCCUUAAGUGGGGGAUAACAUUUGGAAACAGAUGCUAAUACCGCAUAAAUCCAAGAACCGCAUGGUUCUUGGCUGAAAGAUGGCGUAAGCUAUCGCUUUUGGAUGGACCCGCGGCGUAUUAGCUAGUUGGUGAGGGAACGGCUCACCAAGGCAAUGAUACGUAGCCCAACUGAGAGGUUGAUCGGCCACAUUGGGACUGAGACACGGCCCAAACUCCUACGGGAGGCAGCAGUAGGGAAUCUUCCACAAUGGACGCAAGUCUGAUGGAGCAACGCCGCGUGAGUGAAGAAGGCUUUCGGGUCGUAAAACUCUGUUGUUGGAGAAGAAUGGUCGGCAGAGUAACUGUUGUCGGCGUGACGGUAUCCAACCAGAAAGCCACGGCUAACUACGUGCCAGCAGCCGCGGUAAUACGUAGGUGGCAAGCGUUAUCCGGAUUUAUUGGGCGUAAAGCGAGCGCAGGCGGUUUUUUAAGUCUGAUGUGAAAGCCCUCGGCUUAACCGAGGAAGUGCAUCGGAAACUGGGAAACUUGAGUGCAGAAGAGGACAGUGGAACUCCAUGUG
rnacentral:rRNA from 1 species